rfam:Bombyx mori DNA, contig: Bm_scaf41_contig23362, strain: p50T/Dazao, build 2, whole genome shotgun sequence.
UUAUCUUAAACUUGUAUGAAGUUAGAAAGUUUGCCUACGUUUGCCGCUAGGGGCGCUGUUCCAACUGCAUACAAAUUUAUGUUA